UGGGGGAUAUUGCACAAUGGGCGAAAGCCUGAUGCAGCGACGCCGCGUGGGGGAUGAAGGCUUUCGGGUUGUAAACCUCUUUCGCUAUCGAACAAGGCCCGCUUAGGGUGGGUUGAGGGUAGGUGGAGAAGAAGCGCCGGCUAACUACGUGCCAGCAGCCGCGGUAAUACGUAGGGCGCGAGCGUUGUCCGGAAUUAUUGGGCGUAAAGGGCUUGUAGGCGGCUUGUUGCGCCUGCUGUGAAAACGCGGGGCUUAACUUCGCGCGUGCAGUGGGUACGGGCAGGCUUGAGUGUGGUAGGGGUGACUGGAAUUCCAGGUGUAGCGGUGGAAUGCGCAGAGAUCUGGAGGAACACCGAUGGCGAAGGCAGGUCACUGGGCCAUUACUGACGCUGAGGAGCGAAAGCAUGGGUAGCGAACAGG
rnacentral:rRNA from 2 species